UAAAUAAUCAUAACGGAGGAAAGAAACUAACAAGGAUUCCCCUAGUAACUGCGAGUGAAGCGGGAAAAGCUCAAAUUUAAAAUCUGGUGGUCUUUGGCCAUCCGAGUUGUAAUUUAGAGAAGCGUCUUCCGCGCUGGACCGUGCACAAGUCUCCUGGAAUGGAGCGUCAUAGAGGGUGAGAAUCCCGUCUUUGGCACGGAUGUACCAGGGCUUUUGCGAUGCGCUCUCGAAGAGUCGAGUUGUUUGGGAAUGCAGCUCAAAAUGGGUGGUGAACUCCAUCUAAAGCUAAAUAUUGGCGAGAGACCGAUAGCGAACAAGUACCGUGAGGGAAAGAUGAAAAGCACUUUGGAAAGAGAGUGAAACAGUACGUGAAAUUGUUGAAAGGGAAACGCUUGAAGUCAGUCGCGUCGACCGAGACUCAGCCUCGCCUCGGCUUGGUGUACUUCUCGGCUGACGGGUCAGCAUCAAUUUUGCCCCUUGGAUAAUGGCGAGGGAAAUGUGACACCUUUACGGUGUGUUAUAGUCUCUCGUCGCAUGCAAGGGUCGGGAUUGAGGAACUCAGCACGCGCCUUUGGGCGUCGGGGCUUUGCCCACGAUACGUGCUUAGGAUGUUGGCGUAAUGGCUUUAAACGACCCGUCUUGAAACACGGACCAAGGAGUCUAACAUGCCUGCGAGUGUUCGGGUGGAAAACCCGUGCGCGCAAUGAAAGUGAAAGUUGGGACCUCUGUCGUGGAGGGCACCGACGCCCGGACCAGACCUUCUGUGACGGCUCUGCGGUAGAGCAUGUAUGUUAGGACCCGAAAGAUGGUGAACUAUGCCUGAAUAGGGUGAAGCCAGAGGAAACUCUGGUGGAGGCUCGUAGCGAUUCUGACGUGCAAAUCGAUCGUCAAAUUUGGGUAUAGGGGCGAAAGACUAUCGAACAUCUAGACUGGCCGCAAAAAA
rnacentral:rRNA from 1 species